rnacentral:rRNA from 1 species
UACGUAGGGUGCAAGCGUUAAUCGGAAUUACUGGGCGUAAAGCGUGCGCAGGCGGUUGUGCAAGACCGAUGUGAAAUCCCCGGGCUUAACCUGGGAAUGGCAUUGGUGACUGCACGGCUAGAGUGUGUCAGAGGGGGGUAGAAUUCCACGUGUAGCAGUGAAAUGCGUAGAGAUGUGGAGGAAUACCGAUGGCGAAGGCAGCCCCCUGGGAUAACACUGACGCUCAUGCACGAAAGCGUGGGGAGUAAACAGG